ACUGGGUGUAGUGGCAUGCACCUGUAGUCCCAGCUACUCAGGAGGCUGAGGCAGGAGGAUUGCUUGAGCCCAGAAGUUUGAGGCUGCAGUGAGCUAUGAUUGCACCACUGCACUCCAGCCUGGGUAACAGAGCAAGACCUUGUCUCUU
rnacentral:SRP_RNA from 1 species